rnacentral:lncRNA from 1 species
AAUAAAUAUUCCAAGGUUGUGGGGAUGAGAGAUUAAAACGCAUGUGUUUGAGAAUAAAUUUCCUUUUAGCUCUCAUUGGAAACUGAAAGACAAACAUAUUAAAACAUCAUAUUGGAGAGUUGAGCUGGGGACACUUACCCUGAAAAAAAUACAAGCAGGCCCAUAAAAUGUAGACUUAAACAUUUUCCUAUUUUGUUGGGGGAGCACAAAUCAUGUGGAGAUGCCAGCCCAUGCCUACAAAAGUUCUUCUCUGCCGAAAAGCGCGAAUUCUUCCUCCUUAUCCUGACCUGAACUCCUGAGGGAAACACUCACUUAGAAUGAAAGAUGGUGGCUUUAGUGGUAACUUACCCUUUGUGAACUGUUCAUAGUUCUGGAAUUUUCCAGAAUAAUGCA